ensembl:lncRNA
AAAGUAUAUCAAUUAAUAAUGAUCAAACAGUUGAUGAAAUAAAUAGCAGUGUCAGUUCUUUUAUAUUGGAUGCUGCCGGCCAAAGCAUUCCUGUUAGUCAAAACCAAAAGAAGCAAACCAAUGUUCCAUGGUGAAAUGAUAAGUGUUCUGAGGCUAUCAAGGACAGGAAUAGAGCUUUUAAGAAUCUGCGUAGAACAUUAACAAUGGACAAUCUUGUUAAUUACCAAAGGAAGAAGGCAUUAGCCAGGAAGGUUAUUAAAGAAGCUAAGAAAGAUUCAUGGAGACAGUUUUGCUCAACAAUAGGAAGAGAGAUCACUUUAAAUAAAGUAUGGAUGAUGAUUAAGAAGAUGAUAGGCAAAUUUAAGCCUCCACAGGUUUCUGUCUUAAUUAAAGAUGGCACGCAUGCAAUCUCAGAUAUGGAAAAAGCCAAUAUGCUUGCUAGAGCUUUUGCAGACAUACACAAGGGUAGCCACCUGGAGGAGAGGUAUAAGAAAAGGAAAGAAGAGGUAAUGAAAAUAAAUAGGAAUAUCUUAAAUACCAAAGUGUCUAAUAUGUCUAUUAUGGAUUCUGAAAUUAAUAUGUCAGAACUUAAAAGGGCAUUGAGCAAUACUGCAUACUCUGCACCAGGGACGGACAACCUGUGUUAUGCUAUGUUUAGAAAAUUGCCUGAUAAUAUAUUGGAGAAAGUUCUUAAGCUGUUUAACAAAGUAUGGAAUGAAGGUAAAUUACCAAGCAUGUGGAAAUGGGCAAGAAUCCUUCCAUUUACUAAACCAGGUAAAGACUCAAGUGACCCAGGAAAUUAUAGGCCUACUGCACUCACUUCACAUUUUGGAAAAUUAAUGGAAAAAAUUAUAGUUGGGUGUUUGAAUUAUUUUCUAGAAUACAUAAAUCCACUUAAAGGGUAUCAAACUGGAUUUCGGAGAUGCAAGUCAACAACAGAUGCUCUGGUCAAAGUAUGCAAUGAAACUGAAAAGUCGUUAAUAAUGAAAGAAGUAAUGGUGGCAGUUUUCCUGGAUAUUGAGAAAGCCUAUGACACAAUGUGGAGAGAAGGUUUAUUGAUUAAAUUAGGAAAAUUGGGAAUUAAUGGGAAAAUGUAUAAUUACAUACUUGACUUUCUCUCUCUCAACGUUCCAUCAGGGUCAAAGUGGGAGAUGCAGUGUAUGAUGAGUUUAUUGUUGAAAAUGGGAUUCCUCAGGGGAGUGUUAUCAGUCCUAUCUUGUUCAACAUAAUGAUUAAUGAUAUAUAUGAAAAACUGGGAGAUAGUAACGAAGGUCUAUUAUAUGCAGAUGAUGCUGUCAUUUGGAGAAGAGGACGUAAUAUCUCAUAUGUUAAUGAUAAAAUUCAAAAGGACAUUCAUGUACUGGAACAGUGGGGAAUUGUUUGGGGAUUUUAAAUUUUCUAUUUCAAAGUCACAGGUGGUGUAUUUUACUAGGAAAAAAGAGCCUGAAACUUAUAAAAUUA